rnacentral:lncRNA from 1 species
UUUAACAAUCUUAAGAAUUUGAACGUAAAGAGAGAUGAGAUUCAAAGUGACUUUCUUCUCUUUUUGGUUUACAUAUAUAUAUCUAAAUAGUUAAAGGUAAUAUCUGAAUAUAAAUGUCUUUUAAAACAUUAAGUGGCACAUGCUUCUCAUGUGCAAAGUAAGUUUUUCUAAUUUUUUGCCAGUAAAGGAAAGUUUUUUGGGGUCCCAGCGCGACAUGUA